rnacentral:rRNA from 1 species
GGGUGGUUAAGAAUAAGCCUAAAAUUAAAGCCGAACAUCUUCCGGGCUGUUAUACGCAUCCGAAGAUAAGAAGCCCAACUACGAAAGUAGCUUUAUGUCUUCUGAACCCACGAAAGCUAAGAUACAAACUGGGAUUAGAUACCCCACUAUGCCUAGCCAUAAACAUUGACAGUUUAUUACAUUUUCUGUCCGCCUGGGAACUACGAGCACUAGCUUAAAACCCAAAGGACUUGGCGGUGCUUUAGACCCACCUAGAGGAGCCUGUUCUAGAACCGAUAAUCCCCGUUCAACCUCACCCUUCCUUGCCUAUCCCGCCUAUAUACCACCGUCGUCAGCUUACCCUGUGAAGGACAAAAAGUAAGCAAAACUGGCAUCACCCAGAACGUCAGGUCGAGGUGUAGCGAAUGGAGGGGGAAGAAAUGGGCUACAUUCCCUCGUCUACAGGGAACCACGAAUAAUGUACUGAAAACGUACACUUGAAGGAGGAUUUAGCAGUAAGAGGAAACUAGAGCGUUCCACUGAAGUCGGCUCUUAAGCGCGCACACACCGCCCGUCACUCUCCCCGAGACUUUUAAUUUACAUUAACUAAGAUGCC